GCAGCUAGCACUAGCAGCUAAAGACACAGCUUCUUCCGACCGGAUCUGAGGAUCCUUUGAAUGCCAUGCAAUUGUCUAGAAGAGAUGCACAUGGGGUGUGCCAGAACGUUUUCUCUGGGUGUGACAAGUAUGUACACGUGAAGUACGUCUCCAACCAAC